UCCAGAUGAGGUUAGGGCCCGUGCUAAACAGGUUGUGCAAGAUCAGCGCUGUCUGAAGGAUUGGAAGACUGAAAGAUACAAAGAAAUUAUCAAAUCUGGGACUGUAAGUACAAAUUUUUGUAUUCUUCGUUUAUGAUUACUUGUUAGUUCAUCUAUGUGGGUGAUUAUUCUGGAUGAGUGAUUGUGAAGAAAAUGGAUUUGAGUUAAUGGGCAGGUGGAGCCUAGACCUGGAGUAUUGAGAUUGAUGGAUGAGGCCAAGGAUGCUGCGACCAGCUGUCAAUUACUAAGGAGACAGGGAGACGGCUUGGAAUGGGUACAAACAUGUACCCUUCAUCAGCUUUACUUGGUGAUCACAAGGACCAGUCUGUUGCGGCUCUACCAAUUGAUGAACUCAUCGAGAAAGCUAAUGGUUUUGCUGGUGUCUUUCCUGAACACAAGUACGAGAUUGUGAAGAUAUUACAAGGUAGAGAACACACAUGUGGAAUGACAGGUGAUGGAGUCAAUGAUGCACCUGCAUUAAAGAAAGCAAACAUAGGAAUUGACGUGGCAGAUGCAACAGAUGCUGCUUGAAGUGCGUCUGAUAUUGUUCUGACUGAGCCUGGGUUGAGUGUAAUUAUUAGUGUUGUUUUAACAAGUCGUGCCAUCUUUCAAAGAAUGAAGAACUACACAGUAAGAUAUUUUUGUUUUCUUUUUGGCAUUCUUCAAGGAAGCAAAAUUUUUAGUCAAAAUAUGCGUUUCUCGGAUACAAAUUCUUGAAUACGAAUGCUGAAGUUCUCUGUUUCUCCAGAUAUAUGCCAUGUCUAUCACAAUUCGUAUAGUGGUAAGUUUCCCUCAGUAUUCUCUAGGAUUUAAACUAUAUGAAAAGCUUGACAAUGUGUUGACUGCACUAGAAACCUCUAAUUGGUGACUGGGAUUUGUCUAACAACUAGGUUUUCUGUUGCUGUCUGCUUUUUGAAGGUUCAACUUCCCACCUUUCAUGGUUCUUGUGAUUGCUAUACUUAAUGAUGGUACCAUCUUGACAA